AAAUCCAACCUAUCCGC
rnacentral:tRNA from 1 species